rnacentral:rRNA from 1 species
AUGGCGGCUCUCUCCCUGUCCCUCGCCCCUCCCACCGCCGUGCUCCCCUGCUUGCCCCGCAGGCCCGCCGCCUCCCUCCUCAGGCCGCGGGUCCCCUCCCGUGCUACCCUCGCCGUCUGCCUUGGCGCGAAGCCCAAGGUGCCCCUCCCCAUCGCCUCGCCGUCCCCACUCGGGGACGACCCCGCUAAGUGGGACCCCGCCGAGUGCGACGCCCUCCUCCGCGGCGGCGAGCAGGUCGCCUCCGUGCUCCAGGAGAUGCUCACGCUGAUGGAAGACAUGGAGAUGGAUGGUGCAUUUGCACCGGUGGCCGUGGAGCUGGUGGCUCAGGGAGUCAUUGGGAAUAGGGUUGAUGAGAUGGAGUCUGGCUUUCUAAUGGCACUCGAUUACAUGAUACAGCUCGCACAGAAGGAUGGUGAUGAUGAGCGUAACUCUCUUCUUGAAGUAGUCAAGCAGACGGUGCUAGACCAUCUGACAAAAAAAUGCCCUCCGCAUGUUCAAGUAGUUGGACUUCUUUGCCAGACUGAAAAGAAAGAGAGCAGACAUGAACUACUACGUCGUGUAGCUGCCGGUGGUGGUGUUUUUGAAAAUGAUAAAGGCCUGAAGUGUCAAAUUCCAGGAGCAAAUCUCAAUGACAUUGCAAAUCAGGCGGAUGAUCUGCUGGAGUCAAUGGAAACCAGACCCACAAUUCCUGAUCGAAAACUUCUGGCCAGACUAGUUAUAGUAAGAGAGGAAGCUCGAAAUAUGAUGGGAGGUGGCCUUUUAGAUGAAAGAAAUGAUCGUGGUCUCAAUACCCUUCCUCAAGCAGAGGUGAAUUUCUUGAGCAAACUGGUUGCUCUCAAACCAGGGAAAUCAGUGGAGAAGAUGAUCAGUGAUGUUAUGCAUGGCAAAGAGGAAGGUGCCGAUAGCACUGAAAGCACAAAUGCUGGACCAAAUUCUGACCUGGAACCUUCAACUGGGACAUCUGGAAGGGAAAAUGCAACGGGCCGCAAGCCACAGCCUGUCCGCCCUGGAAUGUUCCUCGAGACAGUUUCUAAGGUCUUAGGCGGCAUAUAUGCAAAGAACACAUCUGGCAUUACAGCACAACAUCUAGAAUGGGUACAUCAAACAACACUGAAAGUUCUUCAGGAAAUGGCCUUCUAG